GAUGUCUGAUUAGCUAGUUGGUGAGGUAAAGGCUUACCAAGGCUUCGAUCAGUAGCUGGUCUGAGAGGACGACCAGCCACACUGGGACUGAGACACGGCCCAGACUCCUACGGGAGGCAGCAGUGGGGAAUUUUGGACAAUGGGGGAAACCCUGAUCCAGCCAUGCCGCGUGAGUGAAGAAGGCCUUCGGGUUGUAAAGCUCUUUCAGCCGGAACGAAAAGGUUACGGUUAAUACCCGUGACUAAUGACGGUACCGGAAGAAGAAGCACCGGCUAACUACGUGCCAGCAGCCGCGGUAAUACGUAGGGUGUGAGCGUUAAUCGGAAUUACUGGGCGUAAAGCGUGCGCAGGCGGUUUUGUAAGUCAGAUGUGAAAUCCCCGGGCUCAACCUGGGAACU
rnacentral:rRNA from 1 species